CCUACGGGAGUCAGCAGUGGGGAAUAUUGGGCAAUGGGCGCAAGCCUGACCCAGCAACGCCGCGUGCAGGAAGAAGGCUUUCGGGUUGUAAACUUCUUUUAAGAGGGAAGAGCAGAAGACGGUACCUCUUGAAUAAGCCACGGCUAACUACAUGCCAGCAGCCGCGGUAAUACGUAGGUGGCAAGCGUUGUCCGGAUUUACUGGGUGUAAAGGGCGUGCCGCCGGGCUGACAAGUCAGAUGUUAAAUCCCGUGGAUCAACAACGGAACUGCAUGUGAAACUGGCGGUCUUGAGUAUCGGAGAGGCAGGCGGAUUUCCUAGUGUAGCGGUGAAAUGCGUAGAUAUUAGGAGGAACACCAGUGGCGAAGGCGGCCUGCUGGACGACAACUGACGGUGAGGCGCGAAAGCGUGGGGAGCAAACAGGAUUAGAUACCCCAGUAGUC
rnacentral:rRNA from 1 species